UUCUCUCUCCCCUUCCUUCCUCUCCCCCUCUCCCUUCCCUCUCCCUCCCUCCCUCCUCUGAAUAAGCAGGCUUUUGCCUCUAAAAGUCACAAGUAAUCCUCGUGUGUGACAGAGGGGGGGGGGGAGCCUGCCGAGAGGAGCGGAAGGCAGGAGAAGAAUCUGGCACAACGUCUGGGAGAGAAACUUGAUGCUUCUGGGCCACCAUUUGCAAGGGAAUCGCUCGAGACGCCGAGAGGAGCCUGUUUGUGUGCUGCGGCCGCUCUGUGACUCUGGAUCUUGUCUUCUGGCCGGCGCCUCGACUCCUGCUCAGCUGGAUUUGGGGAGCAACACUGCCUGGCGUAGGGAGAUCAAAUGAGACUGCAAAGAAGCAUAAUAUGAAUAGACAAUCCAACCAACCAAAGACCGGGGGCAGCAGCACGCCAGCAAGACGGCAUCUUCUCCUCCCCAGCCUAGAAGCCCUGUGAAAUCGAGGAUCUUCCCCCUAAAACACACACACACAAGAUAUGUGCAAUCAAGCUGCCACCUCUUGGUAGAAAGCUCACGGUGCCUAACCCCAAAGGAUCGGGAGCAGAUACUUGAAUCAGCUGUCACUUCUAUAGAAUGGGAUUUUUUUGUUUGUUUUUAUUUUUUUCCUUCCUCCUUAACCUGCACUGGAAAUUGCCGUUGGCUUUAUACAUCUCUGUAGAGGGAGGCUAAAGAGUCUUGCGUGAGAAUGAAGCAAUUUACAAUGCAAAUAGAGGCCUGUGAAGGGAUGGAUGCUGCUGCUCACUCCCAACAGCUUGCUGCACCUUAAUAGCUGGUUUUAUUUUCUGAUAUUAAUAGAUGAAUUGUUGGCUAACGCUGCCGGAGAUUACUUGCUGAAAGGAAAAAAAAGUUCGGAAUAAACUCUGAAGGCAACAGAUCUCGUUUGGAUGUUUUAGACGCACACACACAAACAGAAACAAGGUCAUAUUUACAUAAACAAGGAAUCUUAAGCGCGGCAAGUAUCCUGGACAACUACUCUUCGGUGCUGCCAGAAAGGAUCCGGAUCUGAAGUCUGGCAAGAGGAAGACAGAGGUGUGUGAGGGAAGCGAGUUGUUAUCUUUGGUUAUCUAGCUGUAUGAGUGUAUUGGUCUUCAUAAAGCUAGAUAACCGAAAGUAAAAACUCCUUCAAGAUCGCCGGGGAGCGUGUGAGCAUGAAAGACUACAACCAAGAGACAGUAAAAACCAGAAAGGUCAGGAAUACUUAUUGAAUCUAACUUUGUUUUUUUUUUUUUUUUCUUAUGAUUAAAGGUGGGAUGAGAGGAAAUUAAGUGACACACAUAGGCUAAAAUAUAAAGGUGCCAGAUAUUUUGAGAGGGAUUGUUAUAGGUGCAAAAGAGAAUUGUAUAAUGCUAAUGAAUGAAGGUGCAUGUGCAGUUUGUUCUGUUUUAAGGCAAAAGUUUAUAUACGAGGGAUAUUUUUUUCUUAGAAAGCUGUCCUAGAGAUGUCUGGUGCCUGGUUUAAAAAUGAUUCCAUAAUAUGUAGACUUGGGCAGUUCCCUUCUGAGGCCCCUCCCCUCACCCCAAAUUUGAGGAUUGUGCUUGGAAACUACUUUACAUGUAUUUGGGCUGUAUGUCAAAUUAUAUGAAAUUGGACUUUCAGAGAAGUUUAUACUGGGAGGUUAGUAAUUUAUAUCUACUGAGGACUUAGAGCUAGCAAGGAAAAUGAAAAAAAAAAAAAAAAAAAAAAAAGGCUGAUUUUUAUUCUUCUAUUGAAAAUACAAGGACAGAUGCUUCUCUGUUCCAAGAGGGUUUCCUUGAGGAAGCUACUGAAGCAGAAAGACAUGAUGGAGACGAGAUCGCCUCCCCUCUUGUCAAAGUGUUAAAAAAAUGUUCUGUCUUACUCUGCGCCUAGCAUUGGAAAUGAAAGUGACAUUUACGCCACAACCCACGUGUGCGCCUCCUCUCUUUUUGUUUAAGGAUGAUCAGGUCUAUCCAGGAAACAGCUCUGGCAUCCCAAACUGAAAUAAUUAGGACGUAUAUAGACCUGACAAAAAUGGAAAGGGGGUGGGGAAUCUGAGGGUCUGUCUUGCCUAAUUGAUUCCGCUAAACGAAAUGCAGGAGAUGUGAACGGCAGGACGCUCCGAUUCCCACGCUCGGGGGCAAGUGGUAAAGCGGGGCCGGGCAGCCUAUGACAGACAGCCCUGUUGGGGGGUGGGGGUAUGAAAAAAAACAUCAAGUGCACACACCAUACUCAUCUCCAUCGCUUAAGAAAGUAAAGGCAUUUCCCACCCACAGCCAUCUGCAGCCUCCCAAAUGGCAACACCAACUGGUCUGUAGCUGCUGCAUACUGUCUGUUUCUGUUACUUUUUUAACAGCUGUUUAAUCUGGCCAUAAUUAAGUUUGGCUUUCUUCUUUGGCUGAGAUUUUCAAUAUUGGAGGAAAGCUAGUAGAAAGUCCCAUUACUGCCUGCACCUCAUGUCAAAUUCUGUCUGUACUUAUGGCCUGUGACCACCUUUUGGCUUUUGUUUUGGUUGUAUUAUAUUUUCAAAUACAUAUCUCUAUAUAACAGUCAUUUUUAUGACUUCAUCAGGCUGUUUACUUCUAACAGGUAGGAACGUGGCCUAAUUAUGCUAGUAGAUACACACUGGAAGUAAAACUAUAAAGUCAUUAACCUAUAGAGAUUUGAUUAAUAUAACAAUGUGAUUGAAAGAUUGUUUUGGAAUAGUGUCAGCUAGAUGCAUUCUAAACGGCCGUUUCUAUUAAUCUAAAAAUAGCUACGCCUAGCUGAAACUUAGAAACUUUGGAGGUUCCCAUUGUAAUCUUUUGUAAAAGUCCUUAUGUUUUUCCACAAGUCACUAAACAAACAUUUGUAUAGGUAUUUACAUAUAAAUACACCAUUGCAAUAAGAAAGUCCAAAAAUGGCCCGUUGUCUUCCAUGUGGCCUAGAUUACUGACAAUCCCAAACAUACAGUUUUUCUUCAAAAGCAGUACAUUUUCCUUUGUAGCUUCCAUUCCUUGUAGGACUGCAGACUGGAGAAGCCUGUAAAACCACUGUUAUUUUCAGUUAGAAACUCUGAGAGACUUUAUUAACGUAAAUUCUCAAUUUGGCUGCUGAACACGUGCCAAAGUUUUACUACCGUAGUGACCGUUGAGAAGACCCUUGUUUAUUUACAUUUGAAGCACUGUUUGUGCAAACAACCUUUCAUUGUUAAGUGCCUUUAUUCCUUUCAUUUAGUUCGUGUCCAGGGGUGCUAUUUACCUAGAACCAUUGUCUACUACAAUUAACAUUUACAUUACAAAGUGUGUGGUUUUCUUUCUCAAGGAGGUUCAAUUAAGGCAAUAAGAUGUUUGCUGGGGAAACCUAUUGUUUACUGAAAGCACUCAAUGGAGUCAAAUUACUGAAGCUUUUGCCUAGUCUUGGUCUUUUAUGUAAAUAUGUUAAAUAUAGCAUCUAAGGAAAAUAAACAAUAUUAUAAUUAUGUGUUUGCCAUUGUCAUAUCAAACUUGCUUUGUAUCAUACUAAUGUUACAUAACUUAUCGAUCAAUAAAAAUGCAUUUCAAUGUUA